AAAGUUCCCUUCGGGGGACGAGUAGAGUGGCGCACGGGUGAGUAACACGUAGGUAAUCUACCUUUGGAUUGGGAAUAACAACCGGAAACGGUUGCUAAUACCGAAUAAUGCAGCGGCACCUAAUGGUGACAGUUGUUAAAGCGGGGGAUCGCAAGACCUCGCGUCUGAAGAGGAGCCUGCGGCGGAUUAGCUAGUUGGUAAGGUAACGGCUUACCAAGGCGAUGAUCCGUAGCCGGCCUGAGAGGGCGGUCGGCCACACUGACACUGACAUACGGGUCAGACUCCUACGGGAGGCAGCAGUCGGGAAUUUUGGGCAAUGGGCGAAAGCCUGACCCAGCAACGCCGCGUGAAGGAUGAAAUCCCUCGGGAUGUAAACUUCGCAAGAACAGGAAGAAUAAGUAGGGGACAAUACCCCUUAUGAUGACGGUACUGUUUGUAAGCUCCGGCUAACUCCGUGCCAGCAGCCGCGGUAAUACGGGGGGAGCAAGCGUUGUUCGGAUUUACUGGGUGUAAAGGGCGCGUAGGCGGCCACCGCAAGUCGACUGUGAAAUCUCUGGGCUUAACCCAGAAAGGUCAGCCGAUACUGCGGGGCUAGAGUGCAGAAGGGGCAACUGGAAUUCUCGGUGUAGCGGUGAAAUGCGUAGAUAUCGAGAGGAACACCUGCGGCGAAGGCGGGUUGCUGGGCUGACACUGACGCUGAAGCGCGAAAGCUAGGGGAGCGAACGGGAUUAGAUACCCCGGUAGUCCUAGCCUUAAACGAUGAAUGCUUGGUGUCUGGGGUUUUAUAGUCCCCGGGUGCCGUCGCUAACGCUUUAAGCAUU
rnacentral:rRNA from 1 species